UGGCCCAUCGGGGCAUCGGAUACCUGCUUUUUCAUUUUU
rfam:Dipodomys ordii contig_56880, whole genome shotgun sequence.